rnacentral:other from 1 species
GACUCCCUGUGGUGCUCGACAUUCGAUAACGUCCUUGAGCCGAUUCAUAUAAUCAGGGUGCUUCUCGCAUACGCUUUGUGCAUGUCCACUUGUUGGAACGCCUUCCGCCUAUGCAGGGGCUCCCACCUUGAACCUUCGGGUUCAGGGCAACCAUCGGAAUCGCCACCUUGGGGAGUCU